UACGGAGGGUGCGAGCGUUAUCCGGAAUUACUGGGUUUAAAGGGUGCGUAGGCGGCUUGGUAAGUCAGGAGUGAAAGUUUGCGGCUCAACCGUAAAAUUGCUUUUGAUACUGCCAGGCUAGAAUCAGGAUGAGGUCAGCGGAAUGUGGCAUGUAGCGGUGAAAUGCAUAGAUAUGCCAUAGAACACCAAUUGCGAAGGCAGCUGACUAGACCUGUAUUGACGCUGAGGCACGAAAGCGUGGGGAGCGAACAGG
rnacentral:rRNA from 1 species